GGCGCGGUGGCAAGUCGAGUCGUUCCCCUGUAAGCGUGGGGAAGCGGGUGUUUCACACGCACCCCCACGGAAGCAGCUAAUGCAGUACCUAAGGACUCCAGCUGAAAUCAAGGCCCCUUUGUUUAGGCUUGGUACAAACAUACAGAGAGAGAGAGUCCCUGCUGAAGGCAAAGAGUUGUGGGGAAGGGAUAUGACCUACAAGCAGAGUGAACAAUUUGAUGAUCUACAAAUGUCAUUAGCGUGGCAAUCUGCAGGUGAGUGCAGAUCUCAUCAGCAAAGGUGACCAUGAUGGAGUCCCAGAAUCGCAAAAGAGCCCCA